rnacentral:rRNA from 1 species
CGAAUGCGACCAGCAAAGCACCCGUUGCAGAUUCAGUCGCGUYCGAUCGCCGCGRUCGGCGUGCGGAUCCGAACGGACCGUCGUCGACUCGACGGCGACCGGGCGYGCCGCAAUUCUGCCCGGUGCGAGCCAACGUCGGUUCGUCGACGACGUUCGGCCGUCGCGUCAGGUGUCUCGCGGCUUCGGCCGGGAGCGUUAUAGUCGCGUCGGCAAGGGCGUCGAGGCGGACCGAGGAGACGAAUCGUCGGUGGCGGACCGCGCUCGCUUUCGGGCGGGCUAGGGGCGGUCGGCGCGCGUCGCGCGGCGCGUUUAGGACUGCACGCAGUGCUUUUCGCGAACGAGCGGGCGCGUCGRCUCGUCGUCAUAAGC